GAGAAAAUUCAUUGGAUUUCAAGGAAUUAAGCAAGUAAAGGUGGUGAAACUUCCGAUAAGGGUAAGGAGAUUGUACCCGAAGAUUGGGACUAGGAGUACUUCCACUCUCGAUAUUUCACUGCAGUGGUGGGUUUUCGUAGACCAGUCUAUUAGAGAGGGGCACAGUAAACCCGGUUAUAUUUUACCUCGGUACGUGAGGCGCGG